rnacentral:sRNA from 1 species
GGAUGAGAAGCUUCGACUAAGGUUCGAUUCGUACGCAGCGAGAAAGCGUUGCCGCAGGCAACGACCCGAAGGGCGAAGCGCGCAGCGCUGAGUCAUCCUUCCCCCACCACCA